GCCAUUUUCGAGUGAUGCCUGAUCUCAUCAAUCUAGCGGGAGGGAAGGGAUAACCUGUCCGAGCCUAGCGCGACGCUAGGAUCACGCCGGAAAAUCCCCCAAAAAUCAUCAAAAAAAUUAACUUAGAGCAGAGGGCAGUCGGUGGGGCUUCGCCAGAUGCGGCGCAGUCGAUUUUAACCAUUAGAAGAAUACCAGUUCUGGAAAACAACCAAAGUUUCUUUGAUUGAAUGCCCAUGUAAUGCAUUGGAAUAUGAUAGGCGAUUAAGGUUUAACAAUGUUAAAAUGAAGAUAUUACUAAAAUGGCCCUCUAAAUAGCCCAACAAUUAUUAUUUUGUCUUCACACUGUGUUAGAAAUAAGGAAGGUGAUAAAGAAUGCCUGUAAGCAUUAAUUCUCUCUCUCGGGCAGAAACCUACGUGUUCCUCUUCCAGAGAGCUGGUGAAGCCAAAGGCAUUCUCAUAAUGAUGCGCUACACCGACUGACAUUUACCAACUGUGUCAAAGCUACAGGAGCCAGGUAGACACUGCUGGAACUUUAACGGGAAUCAAACAAGUCUAUAAGAAGCACUGAGCUGUGCCACUACCCAAUCAGUGUUCUUCCAGAGCACACAAACGAAAGUGGGAGGAGCCUUCCAAUGAGAACUGUUGUGUGAUUAAUCAAUGAGGCUGACUAAAGCACACACUUAUAAUCCCAAUACUCAGAAAGACAGAGGAAGAAGGAUAUCAGCGCAAGGCCAACAAGGCUUCAAAGCAAGUACCAACCCAGUAUGGACCAUGAGACCCUAUUUCAGAAACAAAUAAUAAAAGCUUGAUGAAGCUGCAAAAAUUA
rnacentral:lncRNA from 1 species